CGUUAUCACAUAAUGCGAAAAUUGGAACGAUACAGACGAGAUUAGCAUGGCCCCUGCGCAGGAUGACACCAAAUUCCUACAGCGAUAUUUCUUCUUU
rnacentral:snRNA from 1 species